AUUUGUGAAUAGGAGACCCAAAGUCCAAAAAUGUUCAUCUUUUCAAAACACAAUAAAAGUUUUGAUCAUCUGUAAAGAACAUCACUUUGAUGAUACCAUUGUGAACAAUAUUUGUGAGUUGAUAGACAAACCCAUUUGACUAAUAGAAUGACUAUGAAGCACUAUAAAAAUUUGGUGAAAAAUAAACCAUGACAAAUCUUAUAGUGCAUAAAAUCAAUAAGGCAGCCAUGCAUCUGACUCAGAAAAUGUGUGCAUUUCUAUAGUAUGGAAAAAAGUUCAGAGUCUACAAGCAUUCACUGAGAGAAGAUAGAUGUUUCCAGAAUCUUCUGCUGUGUUUAUUAAACACAAAUGUCACCACGGUGACUUGAUUGAUAAACAUGCUUAUCAUGUGACCAUCAGCAUCUUCGUUUGGAUCUCAGCAACCUUGUAAACGGUGCAUAUAGCAGCAGGACUGUGAUCCCUGCAUUGUCGAGAUGGAAAGAGUUGCUGGAGGUCAAUAGAAAGCCAUUCUAGAGCACCAGUGAACUCCAUGUUCACCAGGAGACAGAGUCUGGCUCCAAAGUAAGGUGAAGAAGUCAUUGGGAAAACACUCUCAGUCACCUUCUGGCCUCAAUACACAUGUGCACAUGCCUCCCCACACAUGCCUGCCCAUCCACAAGUACACACACAUAAGUGUAGACACACACACACAAGAAAAAUAAGAAGCACGUCAGUGUUAGUGAGCGUAGCAAAGAUGUAAACAUAGGAAAAGCAGAUAUAAAUCAUACUUAAUAAUAAAACAUUUAUAUAACUGUAGACACAACCAGAAAAAUGACAGCUGACCCUGCUGUGACAUGAAUGAACAUGAGGAGAAUGGAAUAAUAAGGAGACAGUGUGUUUGAAAGCAUGAAGGGAGAUGAUUGCAAAGAUUAACGGGACAAUGAGCAACAACAAGAGGUGCACUCAUCACUUUUGUCAUUGCUGUGGCAAAAUACCUCUCCCUCCACCAAAAAAAAAAAAAAAAGGCAGUUUAAGCAAGGGAGAACGUACUCUGGCUCACAGUUUUUAAGUGUGCAGUUUACCAUAGCAAGGAAGGCAUGGCAGUGAGACUGUCUCCAGCUGUAGUGGCAAGGGUGUGGGAAGCCGAUCGGAUAGCUUCUCUGGAAAGGUCCUCACAGACAUGUCCAGAAAAUAGUCUACUAAGGGAUUCUGAAUCUCAUCAAACUUGACGACAAAACUAACCACCAUAGGAGACAAGGAUCAUUGAAUCUGAAAACCCCCAAUCCAGUGAAUUUAAGCUACCUCCCAAACUCAUUAGGUUAAAGUCAAUUCACCUGGAUAACUGGACCUCCAUUCCUAUCCUCUGCUGACUAGCCCAUGACAUAUAGAACCUAGAGAUGACUCAGACAGCUCUUCCCUCAUGUUUACCUACUGUACUCCUACACACAGAAUGUGCAGUAGGGGUUGAAGGCACAGUGAUGUGGGUGGAUUCAUUUUAAAUUGAAAAGCCUUGGACACUUAUUGCUGGGUUCCUUUCAGAUGGUUAAAACAUGUUAUUCUUGGGGACUUUCUUGCUGGUGGACAUAUCUCCUUACCCUUUUGUUCAUACUGCCACAUCUUCCUUCACAGUUACCCAAUGUCACACACCUCUAGAGCCCCUGGUGUUGGUUUUCUGUCAGAGCUCUGCUGUGGUGGUUUGAAUAUGCUUGGCCCAUAGGAGGUAGUACUAGUAGUAGGUGUGGCCUUGUUGGAGGAAGUGUGUCACUGUGGGGGUGGGCUUUGAAGCUCUGCUCAGUGAGGAAGAGUCAAUCUGCUCCCAGCUUCCUUUAGAGGAAGACAUAGAACUCUCAGCUCCUGCAGCACCAUGCCUGCAUGGAUGCUACUAUACUUCCCACCUGGAUGAUAAUGGACUAAACAUCUGAACCUGUAAGCUAGCCCUAGCUGAAUGCUAUCCUUUAAAAGAAUUGUCAUGGUCAUGGUGUCUCUUUACAGCAAUGGAAACCCUGAGACACCCUCCUUCUUUUAGCUUGUGCCUACUAAGUAGCUUGGUAGUAUCAUCUUCAGAGCUGGGCUUAAGGAAGGCAGGAGAGAACAUAUCUAUUCAUGGUUUUACUCUGGGUUAAGUAAUUCUUCCUUGGACUCUUUCUGAAAUGUCUCAGAACAAAAAUCAAAACAAAGCAGAUGGUUCAUUGGAAAGAUUCUACUCCCCACUGAACUACAGAAAACUGUGUAACCUCUUAUAGACAAAUUUUAGAUUUUAAUACGCUGCAUAGUCAGGCUUCUCUAAAGGAAUAGAACAGAUACAAGGAGAGUAUAUAUGAAAUGUAUGAGAGGGGCUUAUAGGCUGUGGUCCGGGUAGUCCGGCGAUGGCUGUCUUACAGCAGAAAAGCCAAGAGUCUGGUAGUUGUUCAGUUCAGGGAACUGGAUGUCUGAGGAAUCCCAAUCUGAUGCCAUUGACCCUGGGAAGUCCUAAUGAGCUGCUGGUCUUCAGAAGUCUAUGUUAGAAUCCAGAAGAGGUUCCUAAUACCUGGGAAAGAAUGAAUGUCUCAGCAGCAGGGGAGAUGAACACUGCAACAAGAAUGUU
rnacentral:lncRNA from 1 species